rnacentral:SRP_RNA from 1 species
AGCCGGGCCAGACGCAGCAGCAGGCCGACGAACCGUGUCAGGAUCGGAAGGUAGCAGCACUAAGCCGGACCUCCUGUGUGCGCUCUGAUAACCCGGCUCUG